rnacentral:rRNA from 1 species
AUUGAACGCUGGCGGCAUGCCUAACACAUGCAAGUCGAACGGCAGCACGGUCUAGCUUGCUAGACGGGUGGCGAGUGGCGAACGGGUGAGUAACGCGUAGGAAUAUACCUUGAAGUGGGGGACAACCUGGGGAAACUCAGGCUAAUACCGCGUAAUCUCUUCGGAGGGAAGCUGGGGACCGCAAGGCCUGGCGCUUUAAGAUUAGCCUGCGUCCGAUUAGCUAGUUGGUGGGGUAAAGGCCUACCAAGGCGACGAUCGGUAGCUGGUCUGAGAGGAGGAUCAGCCACCCUGGGACUGAGACACGGCCCAGACUCCUACGGGAGGCAGCAGUGGGGAAUAUUGGACAAUGGGGGGAACCCUGAUCCAGCAAUGCCGCGUGUGUGAAGAAGGCCUGAGGGUUGUAAAGCACUUUCGGCGGGGAGGAGGAUGAGUUGGUUAAGAGCUGACUUAUUGGACGUUACCCGCAUAAGAAGCACCGGCUAACUCCGUGCCA